UGGGGACUAUUGGACAAUGGGCGCAAGCCUGAUCCAGCCAUGCCGCGUGAGUGAAGAAGGCCUUCGGGUUGUAAAGCUCUUUUGUCAGGGACGAUAAUGACGGUACCUGAAGAAUAAGCCCCGGCAAACUUCGUGCCAGCAGCCGCGGUAAUACGAAGGGGGCCAGCGUUGUUCGGAAAUACUGGGCGUAAAGCGCACGUAGGCGGCUUGUUAAGUCAGGGGUGAAAUCCCGGAGCUUAACUCCGGAACUGCCUUUGAUACUGGCAAGCUAGAGUUCGGAAGAGGUUAGUGGAAUUCCCAGUGUAGAGGUGAAAUUCGUAGAUAUUGGGAAGAACACCAGUGGCGAAGGCGGCUAACUGGUCCGAUACUGACGCUGAGGUGCGAAAGCGUGGGGAGCAAA
rnacentral:rRNA from 1 species